GCCACUGCUAUUGGGGUUCGGCUAAGCCAUGCGAGUGGAGGGCGUCCCGCAAGGGAUGGCCCCGCAGACGGCUCAGUAACACGUCGUCAACCCACCUUAGGGUGGGGGACAACCCCGGGAAACUGAGGAUAAUCCCCCAUAGGCGGGGGAGGCUAGAAUGCGCCCCCGCUGAAAGCUCAGGCGCCCUAGGACGGGACGGCGGCCUAUCAGGUAGUUGGUGGUGUGACG
rnacentral:rRNA from 1 species